AUAGGAGAAACUCGACUGCGUAAUUUGUGGUAGUGGGGGACUGCGUGCGCGCUCUCCCCUG
ensembl:snRNA U1 U1 spliceosomal RNA